rnacentral:rRNA from 1 species
GUUUACUAUGGUGUGUUCUAGUGGCAGACGAGUGAGUAAUAUAUAGGAAUCUACCUAGUAGUAAGGGAUAAUUGCUAGAAAUGGCAGCUAAUACCUUAUACUCCUUACGAGGGAAAAAUUUAUUGCUAUUAGAUGAGCCUAUAUUAGAUUAGCUAGUUGGUAAGGUAACGGCUUACCAAGGCUAUGAUCUAUAGCUGAUCUGAGAGGAUGAUCAGCCACGCUGAAAUUGAGAUACGGUUCAG